AUGGCUACGCCUGCGACGACGCUCGGGGAGUCGCUGGCACACGUAUCCCGUACCAAGAGGUGGGUGAUGGCCGUCGUCGCCCAGAUUGUCUGCCCUGUAGGAAUCACCGCGACCAUGAUCUACGCCUACAUUUCAGGACGCUCUCCUUUCUUCUUCAGCAUCGUCCCAUGGCGGCUGCCGCUGGUGCUCUCGUACGAGGCCUACUGGUCGGUGCUCUUCCUCGUCAAGUCCUACGCGGAACUGUUCUUGCCGCGCACGCCGGUGACCGUCGUCGAGAAGCUUCGCGACGUAGGAGGCUACGGUUUCGGCGUCGGCGUCCUGGGUCUCAUGGUGUCCGCCGUCCUGGCCACCGAGGUCAAGGACACCCGUGUCUUGGCCGGUUGCAUCUGCGUGGUGGCUGUCUUCAUCGUCGGGCUCCUGGCGUUCUGGGUGCGGCUUGUUCGCAUGUACGGCGCGGUGGAGUCUUCUACGGUACCAGCAGCAGGGCAGCAGCCUCCACCGAGCAUGCUAGGGGAACCCCGGCUGGAAGAGGGAAAGAAAGAUCAGGGGAAGAAGCGGAGUAUCUUGCCUAUCUAA
rnacentral:rRNA from 1 species